rnacentral:rRNA from 1 species
GAAAGUAAGCAAGGGCGUACGGGGGAUGCCUAGGCUCUUGGAGGCGAAGAAGGACGUGUUAAGCUGCGAAAAGCUGCGGGGAUUUGCAAAAAAGACUUGAUCCGCAGAUGUCCGAAUGGGGCAACCCGGCAGGUCGGAGACCUGUCACACCGGCAACGGUGAGCAAACCCUAUGAACUGAAACAUCUUAGUAAUAGGAGGAGGAGAAAGAAACAUCGAUUUCCCGAGUAGUGGCGAGCGAAAAGGAAAGAGCCCAAACCGGCGUUGUUACGGCAAUGCCGGGGUUAUAGGACUGCGAUAUCUUAAUACCAACGAACGAGAAAUGACUGGAAAGUCGUACCGUAGAGGGUGAAAGUCCCGUAUUGGUAAGUUCGGUAAGCGGUAGCAGUAUCCUGAGUAUGGCGGGACACGAGGAAUCCUGUCAGAAUUUGCGGGGACCACCCCGUAAGGCUAAAUACUCCCAAGAGACCGAUAGUGGACCAGUACCGUGAGGGAAAGGUGAAAAGUACCCCGAACAGGGGAGUGAAAAAGAACCUGAAACCGUACGCUUACAACCUGUCGGAGCCGCUUCGUGCGGUGACGGCGUGCCUUUUGCAUAAUGAACCUACGAGUUACUAAUCACUAGCGAGGUUAAGGACUAUAAAGUCCGGAGCCGAAGCGAAAGCGAGUCUGAAUAGGGCGUAUAGUUAGUGGUUGUAGACGCGAAACCUUGCGAUCUACCCAUGAGCAGGAUGAAGGUUGGGUAAAACCAACUGGAGGUCCGCACCGGUAAACGUUGAAAAGUUUUCGGAUGACUUGUGGGUAGGGGUGAAAGGCUAAUCAAGCUGGGAAAUAGCUCGUACUCCCCGAAAUGCUUUUAGGAGCAGCGUUGUAAUAGUCUACUGGAGGUAGAGCUACUGAUUGGAUGCGGGGGCUUCACCGCCUACCAAAUCCUGACAAACUCCGAAUGCCAGUAGAAUGAUUUGCAGCAGUGAGCCGCUGGGUGCUAAUGUCCGGCGACUAAAGAGGAACAACUCAGACCAUCAGCUAAGGCCCCCAAACAUACACUAAGUUGAACUAACGAUGUGCGACUGCAGCGACAGCUAGGAUGUUAGCUUGGAAGCAGCUAUUCAUUUAAAGAGUGCGUAACAGCUCACUAGUCGAGCGGUUGUGCGUGGAUAAUAACCGGGCAUCAAGUGUAUUGCCGAAGCUAUGGACUCUACGGAGUGGUAGGGGAGCAUUCCAUCGACGUCGAAGCCGAUUCGUGAGGAUCGGUGGAGUUUAUGGAAAAGCAAAUGUAGGUAUAAGUAACGAUAAGGCGGGAGAGUAACCCGCCCACCGCAAGACCAAGGUUUCCUGAUCAACGUUAAUCGGAUCAGGGUCAGUCGGGGCCUAAGGGUAAGCCGCAUGGUGAUCUCGAUGGACAAUCGGUUAAUAUUCCGAUACUGAUAUGAACUGCGACGGAGGGACGGAGAAGCGUAAGCUACGCCAACAGACGGAAUUGUUGGUUAAAGGGUGUAGGUAUAUGAUUCGGUUAAUAGCUGAUUCAUGCUGAAACCUGACAGUACCGAGCGGCUACGGCCAAUCGGAUAGUUAGCCCAAGCAAGCUUCCGAGAAAAACUUCUAAGCUUCAGGUUCAUAUCACCCGUACCGUAAACCGACACAGGUGGUCGAGGAGAGUAUCCUCAGGUGCUUGAGUGAAUCACGGAUAAGGAACUAGGCAAAUUGACCCCGUAACUUCGGGAAAAGGGGUCCCUACGCAAGUAGGGCGCAGCGAAGAGGUCCAGGCAACUGUUUAACAAAAACAUAUGGCUCUGCUAAUUCGAGAGAAGAAGUAUAGGGCCUGACACCUGCCCGGUGCUGGAAGGUUAAGAGGGGAUGUCAGCGCAAGCGAAGCAUUGAAUCGAAGCCCCAGUAAACGGCGGCCGUAACUAUAACGGUCCUAAGGUAGCGAAAUUCCUUGUCGGGU